GAUGAACGCUGGCGGCGUGCCUAAUACAUGCAAGUCGAGCGGACAGACGGUGAGCUUGCUCCUCUGACGUGAGCGGCGGACGGGUGAGUAACACGUGUAUACCCUACCUAUAAGACUGAGAUAACUUCGGGAAACCGGAGCUAAUACGAGAUAAUAUAUUGAAGCGCGGUGGUCAUUGGUGAGAGUCGGUUUUGCUGUCUCUUAUAGAGGCAUCCGCGCGGGAUUAGCUAGUUGGUAAGGUAACGGCCUACCACGGCAACGAUGCGUAGCCGACCUGAGAGGGUGAUCGGCCACAUUGGAACUGAGACACGGUCCAGACUCCUACGGGAGGCAGCAGUCGGGAAUCUUACGCAAUGGGCGAAAGCUUGACGGAGCAACGCCGCGUGAGUGACGACGGUCUUCGGAUCGUAAAGCUCUGUUACUAGGGAAGAACCACUGUCUCAGUAAACAUGGCGGUAUUGACGGUACCUAAUAAAAAAGCACCGGCUAACUACGUG
rnacentral:rRNA from 1 species